rnacentral:rRNA from 1 species
AAGGAUCAUUACCGAGUGAGGGCCCUCUGGGUCCAACCUCCCACCCGUGUUUAUUUACCUUGUUGCUUCGGCGAGCCUGCCUUUUGGCUGCCGGGGGACGUCAGUCCCCGGGUCCGUGCUCGCCGGAGACACCUUAGAACUCUGUCUGAAGAUUGUAGUCUGAGAUUAAAUAUAAAUUAUUUAAAACUUUCAACAACGGAUCUCUUGGUUCCGGCAUCGAUGAAGAACGCAGCGAAAUGCGAUACGUAAUGUGAAUUGCAGAAUUCAGUGAAUCAUCGAGUCUUUGAACGCACAUUGCGCCCUCUGGUAUUCCGGAGGGCAUGCCUGUCCGAGCGUCAUUGCUGCCCUCAAGCACGGCUUGUGUGUUGGGCCCCGUCCUCCUUCCGGGGGACGGGUCCGAAAGGCAGCGGCGGCACCGCGUCCGGUCCUCAAGCGUAUGGGGCUUUGUCACUCGCUUUGUAGGCCUGGCCGGCGCUUGCCGAUCAACCAAACUUUUUAUCAGGUUGACCUCGGAUCAGGUAGGGAUACCCGCUGAACUUAA